CGGCCCCCUGGACAGAUACUUUUACUCAGAUGCGAAAGCGUGGGGAGCAAACAGGAUUAGAUACCCUGGUAGUCCACGCCGUAAACGAUGUCUACUUGGAGGUUGUGGCCUUGAGCCGUGGCUUUCGGAGCUAACGCGUUAAGUAGACCGCCUGGGGAGUACGGUCGCAAGAUUAAAACUCAAAUGAAUUGACGGGGGCCCGCACAAGGGGUGGAGCAUGUGGUAUAAUUCGAUGCAACGCGAAGAACCUUACCUACUCUUGACAUCCAGAGAACUUUCCAGAGAUGGUUUGGUGCCUUCGGGAACUCCCCGACAGGUGCUGCAUGGCUGUCGUCAGCUCGUGUUGUGAAAUGUUGGGUUAAGUCCCGCAACGAGCGCAACCCUUAUCCUUGUUUGCCAGCGAGUAAUGUCGGGAACUCCAGGGAGACUGCCGGUGAUAAACCGGAGGAAGGUGGGGACGACGUCAAGUCAUCAUGGCCCUUACGAGUAGGGCUACACACGUGCUACAAAGGCGCAUACAGAGGGCGGCCAACUUGCGAGAGUGAGCGAAUCCCAAAAAGUGCGUCGUAGUCCGGAUUGGAGUCUGCAACUCGACUCCAUGAAGUCGGAAUCGCUAGUAAUCGUGGAUCAGAAUCCCACGGUGAAUACGUUCCCGGGCCUUGUACACACCGCCCGUCACACCAUGGGAGUGGGCUGCAUAAGAAGUAGGUAGUUUAACCUUCGGGGGGACGCUACCACUGCAGU
rnacentral:rRNA from 1 species